UGUUUGAAUUAGGUCUAGCUGUUGAAAUUAAAUUUAGUUAAUGUUUUAGGGGCUGAUUCAAGAAUUUGUUGAAGAUAAGAGGUGUUUGAACUGUCAAUUUGUUUGGGGUUAAUAUCAAGUAAAGGAAAGGAUAGAAUGACGAAUGACAAGAAGAAUCCGUGACCAGGCCUUGGGACUUGACAAUGCUUCCGCAUAUGUUUUCUUAUGUUUGCAAGUUUUAACUUUGUAAUUAAACUUUUAAAUUUCUUUUGAAUAUUUCAUUCGAUUUAUUUAUUUAUUAAAGUUGGGUAUCGGAAUAGAGAUUUUAUGUUCCUUUUAUAGGUUCUAUAAUAAAAAUUUAUUUUAUUGUUUGGA